GACGAACGCUGGCGGCGUGCUUAACACAUGCAAGUCGAACGGAAAGGCCCUGCUUUUGUGGGGUGCUCGAGUGGCGAACGGGUGAGUAACACGUGAGUAACCUGCCCUUGACUUUGGGAUAACUUCAGGAAACUGGGGUUAAUAUCGGAUAGGAGCUCCUGCUGCAUGGUGGGGGUUGGAAAGUUUCGGCGGUUGUGGAUGGACUCGCGGCUUAUCAGCUUGUUGGUGGGGUAGUGGCUUACCAAGGCUGUGACGGGUAGCCGGCCUGAGAGGGUGACCGGCCACAUUAGGACUGAGAUACGGCCCAGACUCCUACGGGAGGCAGCAGUGGGGAAUAUUGCACAAUGGGCGGAAGCCUGAGGCAGCAACGCCGCGUGCGGGAUGACGGCCUUCGGGUUGUAAACCGCUUUCGCCUGUGACGAAGCGUGAGUGACGGUAAUGAGUAAAGAAGCACCGGCUAACUACGUG
rnacentral:rRNA from 1 species